rnacentral:rRNA from 1 species
UACGUAGGAGGCAAGCGUUGUCCGGAGUUACUGGGCGUAAAGGGCCCGCAGGCGGUGGAGUAAGUUUGGAGUGACAGUUCCCAGCUUAACCGGGAAAGGACUUCGAAAACUGCUCGACUUGAGGACUGGAGAGGAAGGCGGAAUUCCGGGUGGAGCGGUGAAAUGCGUAGAGAUCGGGAGGAACACCAGUGGCGAAGGCGGCCUUCUGGACCAGUACUGACGCUCAUGCACGAAAGCGUGGGGAGCAAACAGG